rnacentral:rRNA from 1 species
GAUGAACGCUGGCGGCGUGCCUAAUACAUGCAAGUCGAGCGAACGGACGAGAAGCUUGCUUCUCUGAUGUUAGCGGCGGACGGGUGAGUAACACGUGGAUAACCUACCUAUAAGACUGGGAUAACUUCGGGAAACCGGAGCUAAUACCGGAUAAUAUUUUGAACCGCAUGGUUCAAAAGUGAAAGACGGUCUUGCUGUCACUUAUAGAUGGAUCCGCGCUGCAUUAGCUAGUUGGUAAGGUAACGGCUUACCAAGGCAACGAUGCAUAGCCGACCUGAGAGGGUGAUCGGCCACACUGGAACUGAGACACGGUCCAGACUCCUACGGGAGGCAGCAGUAGGGAAUCUUCCGCAAUGGGCGAAAGCCUGACGGAGCAACGCCGCGUGAGUGAUGAAGGUCUUCGGAUCGUAAAACUCUGUUAUUAGGGAAGAACAUAUGUGUAAGUAACUGUGCACAUCUUGACGGUACCUAAUCAGAAAGCCACGGCUAACUACGUGCCAGCAGCCGCGGUAAUACGUAGGUGGCAAGCGUUAUCCGGAAUUAUUGGGCGUAAAGCGCGCGUAGGCGGUUUUUUAAGUCUGAUGUGAAAGCCCACGGCUCAACCGUGGAGGGUCAUUGGAAACUGGAAAACUUGAGUGCAGAAGAGGAAAGUGGAAUUCCAUGUGUAGCGGUGAAAUGCGCAGAGAUAUGGAGGAACACCAGUGGCGAAGGCGACUUUCUGGUCUGUAACUGACGCUGAUGUGCGAAAGCGUGGGGAUCAAACAGGAUUAGAUACCCUGGUAGUCCACGCCGUAAACGAUGAGUGCUAAGUGUUAGGGGGUUUCCGCCCCUUAGUGCUGCAGCUAACGCAUUAAGCACUCCGCCUGGGGAGUACGACCGCAAGGUUGAAACUCAAAGGAAUUGACGGGGACCCGCACAAGCGGCGGAGCAUGUGGUUUAAUUCGAAGCAACGCGAAGAACCUUACCAAAUCUUGACAUCCUUUGACAACUCUAGAGAUAGAGCCUUCCCCUUCGGGGGACAAAGUGACAGGUGGUGCAUGGUUGUCGUCAGCUCGUGUCGUGAGAUGUUGGGUUAAGUCCCGCAACGAGCGCAACCCUUAAGCUUAGUUGCCAUCAUUAAGUUGGGCACUCUAAGUUGACUGCCGGUGACAAACCGGAGGAAGGUGGGGAUGACGCCAAAUCAUCAUGCCCCUUAUGAUUUGGGCUACACACGUGCUACAAUGGACAAUACAAAGGGCAGCGAAACCGCGAGGUCAAGCAAAUCCCAUAAAGUUGUUCUCAGUUCGGAUUGUAGUCUGCAACUCGACUACAUGAAGCUGGAAUCGCUAGUAAUCGUAGAUCAGCAUGCUACGGUGAAUACGUUCCCGGGUCU